rnacentral:rRNA from 1 species
UGGCUCAGGAUGAACGCUGGCGGCGUGCCUAAUACAUGCAAGUCGAGCGGUAAGGCUCCUUCGGGAGUACACGAGCGGCGGACGGCUGAGUAACGCGUAGGAACGUACCCCAAAGUGAGGGAUAAUCCGCUGAAAAGCGGACUAAUACCGCAUGUGGUCUUCGGAUUAAAGCUUCGGCGCUUUGGGAGCGGCCUGCGUAUGAUUAGAUUGUUGGUGAGGUAACGGCUCACCAAGUCGACGAUCAUUAGCUGGUCUGAGAGGAUGAUCAGCCAGACUGGGACUGAGAACGGCCCAGACUCCUACGGGAGGCAGCAGUAGGGAAUUUCCACAAUGGACGAAAGUCUGAUGGAGCAACGCCGCGUGCAGGAUGAAUGCCUUCGGGUUGUAAACUGCUUUUAUAUGUGACGAAUAUGACGGUAGCAUAUGAAUAAGGAUCGGCUAAUUCCGUG